rnacentral:rRNA from 1 species
UACAGAGGGUGCAAGCGUUAAUCGGAAUUACUGGGCGUAAAGGGUGCGUAGGUGGUUGAAUAAGUUAGGUGUGAAAGUCCUGGGCUUAACCUGGGGACUGCGCCUAAUACUGUUUAGCUAGAGUACUGUAGAGGAAGGUGGAAUUUCCAGUGUAGCGGUGAAAUGCGUAGAUAUUGGAAGGAACAUCUGUGGCGAAGGCGACCUUCUGGACAGAUACUGACACUGAGGCACGAAAGCGUGGGGAGCAAACAGG